GGGAUAACAGUUGGAAACGACUGCUAAUACCGGAUGUGCCUACGGGUGAAAGAUUUAUCGCCAGAAGAUGAGCUCGCGUCUGAUUAGCUAGUUGGUGGGGUAAAAGCCUACCAAGGCGACGAUCAGUAGCUGGUCUGAGAGGAUGAGCAGCCACACUGGGACUGAGACACGGCCCAGACUCCUACGGGAGGCAGCAGUGGGGAAUUUUCCGCAAUGGGCGAAAGCCUGACGGAGCAAGACCGCGUGAGGGAGGAAGGCCUUUGGGUUGUAAACCUCUUUUGUCAGGGAAGAAAAAAAUGACGGUACCUGACGAAUCAGCCUCGGCUAACUCCGUGCCAGCAGCCGCGGUAAUACGGAGGAGGCAAGCGUUAUCCGGAAUCAUUGGGCGUAAAGCGUCCGUAGGUGGCCAAGUAAGUCUGCUGUCAAAGACCACAGCUUAACUGUGGAAAGGCAGUGGAAACUGCGGGGCUAGAGUACGGUAGGGGUAGAGGGAAUUCCAGGUGUAGCGGUGAAAUGCGUAGAGCUCUGGAAGAACACCGGUGGCGAAAGCGCUCUACUG
rnacentral:rRNA from 1 species